rnacentral:rRNA from 1 species
GACGAACGCUGGCGGCGUGCUUAACACAUGCAAGUCGAACGGAAAGGCCCUGCUUUUGUGGGGUGCUCGAGUGGCGAACGGGUGAGUAACACGUGAGUAACCUGCCCUUGACUUUGGGAUAACUUCAGGAAACUGGGGCUAAUACCGGAUAGGAGCUCCUGCUGCAUGGUGGGGGUGGGAAAGUUUCGGCGGUUGGGGAUGGACUCGCGGCUCAUCAGCUUGUUGGUGGGGUAGUGGCUUACCAAGGCGUUGACGGGUAGCCGGCCUGAGAAGGUGACAGGCCACAUUGGGACUGAGAUACGGCCCAGACUCCAACGGGAGGCAGCAGUGGGGAAUAUUGCACAAUGGGCGGAAGACUGGUGCAGCAACGCCGCGUGCGGGAUGACGGCCUUCGGGUUGUAAACCGCUUUCGCCUGUGACGAAGCGUGAGUGACGGUAAUGGGUAAAGAAGCACCGGCUAACUACGUG